CGGUAAUACGUAGGGUGCAAGCGUUAAUCGGAAUUACUGGGCGUAAAGCGUGCGCAGGCGGUGAUGUAAGACAGGUGUGAAAUCCCCGGGCUUAACCUGGGAACUGCAUUUGUGACUGCAUCGCUGGAGUGCGGCAGAGGGGGAUGGAAUUCCGCGUGUAGCAGUGAAAUGCGUAGAUAUGCGGAGGAACACCGAUGGCGAAGGCAAUCCCCUGGGCCUGCACUGACGCUCAUGCACGAAAGCGUGGGGAGCAAACAGGAUUAGGUACCCUGGUAGUCCACGCCCUAAACGAUGUCAACUGGUUGUUGGGUCUUCACUGACUCAGUAACGAAGCUAACGCGUGAAGUUGACCGCCUGGGGAGUACGGCCGCAAGGUUGAA
rnacentral:rRNA from 1 species